AAAAAAUGCUUUCUUCACACCGUCUGGGAGGCUAAUAUUGUAUUAUCCCUAUAUUGCAGAUGAGAAAACUGUGUGAGGAACAGCAAAAAGACCAAUCCAGAUGGAAUAUAGAACAAGGAAAGGAGAAGUGUGUUCCAAGGGAUAAAUUUGUUUUCAGAUUUCUAUCCAGUGAUGGGGAGCCAUGCUUCAGGGGUCUGACAGGUUUCAGGCAAACAACCCGGAGGAAGUGAAAAUGUUGGGAAUGAAAUAAUGCAACCUAGAAACUAUAUUACAAACAUUUGCCUCAUGGAGAUCCAACUAAAAGAGCCAUUGAUGAGCCGGAGCAUACAAUAACCCUCAACAUUAGCAAGUAUACUUUUGGUGACUUCAAGCAUUCCUGUGAUGUUAUUAGUAACCUCAUUUUCAUUUUUGUGGUGCAACCACACACAUUUGUG
rnacentral:lncRNA from 1 species